GAUGAACGCUGGCGGCGUGCCUAAUACAUGCAAGUCGAGCGAACGGACGAGAAGCUUUCUUCUCUGAUGUUAGCGGCGGACGUGUUAGUAACACGUGGAUAACCUACCUAUAAGUCUGGGAUAAAUUCGGGUAACCGGAGCUCAUACCGGAUAAUAUUUUGAACCGCAUGGUUCAAAAGUGAAAGUCGGUCUUGCUGUCACUUAUAGAUGGAUCCGCGCUGCAUUAGCUAGUUGGUAAGGUAACGGCUUACCAAGGCAACGAUGCAUAGCCGACCUGAGAGGGUGAUCAGCCACACUGGAACUGAGACACGGUCCAGACUCCUACGGGAGGCAGCAGUGGGGAAUCUUCGGCAAUGGGCGAAAGCCUGACGGAGCAACGCCGCGUGAGUGAUGAAGGUCUUCGGACCGUAAAACGCUGUUAUUAGGAAAGAACAUAUGUGUAAUAAACUGUGCACCUCUUGACGGUACCUAAUCAGAAAGCCACGGCUAACUACGUG
rnacentral:rRNA from 1 species